rnacentral:rRNA from 1 species
UACGUAGGGUCCGAGCGUUGUCCGGAAUUAUUGGGCGUAAAGGGCUCGUAGGCGGUCUGUUGCGUCGGGAGUGAAAACUUACAGCUUAACUGUGAGCGUGCUUCCGAUACGGGCAGACUUGAGGUAUUCAGGGGAGAACGGAAUUCCUGGUGUAGCGGUGAAAUGCGCAGAUAUCAGGAGGAACACCGGUGGCGAAGGCGGUUCUCUGGACAGUUCCUGACGCUGAGGCACGAAGGUCAGGGGAGCAAACGGG